rnacentral:tRNA from 1 species
UAGCUCAGUGGUGGAGCACAUGUUUAGCAUGCAUGAGGCCCUGGGUUCAAUCCCCAA